AGUGAACGCUGGCGGUAGGCCUAACACAUGCAAGUCGAACGGCAGCACAGGAGAGCUUGCUCUCUAGGUGGCGAGUGGCGGACGGGUGAGGAAUACAUCGGAAUCUGCCCAGUCGUGGGGGAUAACGUAGGGAAACUUACGCUAAUACCGCAUACGACCUUCGGGUGAAAGAGGGGGAUCGCAAGACCUCUCGCGAUUGGAUGAGCCGAUGUCGGAUUAGCUAGUUAGCGGGGUAAUGGCCCACCAAGGCGACGAUCCGUAGCUGGUCUGAGAGGAUGAUCAGCCACACUGGAACUGAGACACGGUCCAGACUCCUACGGGAGGCAGCAGUGGGGAAUAUUGGACAGUGGGCGCAAGCCUGAUCCAGCCAUACCGCGUGGGUGAAGAAGGCCUUCGGGUUGUAAAGCCCUUUUGUUGGGAAAGAAAUCUUUCAGGCUAAGACCCUGGGAGGAUGACGGUACCCAAAGAAUAAGCACCGGCUAACUGCGU
rnacentral:rRNA from 1 species